rnacentral:rRNA from 1 species
AUUUCGCAAUGCCCGAAAGGGUGACGAUGCGACGCCGCGUGAGCGAAGAAGGCCCUAGGGUUGUAAAGCUCUGUCGGGGGUUAAGAAAUACAGGCUGGUUAAUACCCAGCCUGUUUGACAAAGGCCCCAAAGGAAGCCACGGCUAACUCUGUGCCAGCAGCCGCGGUAAUACAGAGGCGGCAAGCGUUGUUCGGAAUUAUUGGGCGUAAAGAGCACGUAGGCGGCUAUGUAAGUCGGUUGUGAAAGCCUUCCGCUCAACGGGAGAACAGCAUCCGAUACUGCAUGGCUUGAGUGCGGGAGGGGAGAGUGGAACUUCUGGUGGAGCGGUGAAAUGCGUAGAUAUCAGAAGGAACGCCGGCGGCGAAAGCGGCUCUCUGGCCCAUAACUGACGCUGAGUGUGCGAAAGCUAGGGGAGCAAACGGGAUUAGAUACCCCGGUAGUCCUAGCCGUAAACGAUGGGCACUAAGUAGAGGGGUUUUA